rnacentral:rRNA from 1 species
UACACUCCUGCGGGAGGCAGCAGUGGGGAAUUUUGGACAAUGGGCGAAAGCCUGAUCCAGCCAUGCCGCGUGCAGGAUGAAGGCCUUCGGGUUGUAAACUGCUUUUGUACGGAACGAAACGGCCUUUUCUAAUAAAGAGGGCUAAUGACGGUACCGUAAGAAUAAGCACCGGCUAACUACGUGCCAGCAGCCGCGGUAAUACGUAGGGUGCAAGCGUUAAUCGGAAUUACUGGGCGUAAAGCGUGCGCAGGCGGUUAUGUAAGACAGUUGUGAAAUCCCCGGGCUCAACCUGGGAACUGCAUCUGUGACUGCAUAGCGAGAGUACGGUAGAGGGGGAUGGAAUUCCGCGUGUAGCAGUGAAAUGCGUAGAUAUGCGGAGGAACACCGAUGGCGAAGGCAAUCCCCUGGACCUGUACUGACGCUCAUGCACGAAAGCGUGGGGAGCAAACAGGAUUAGAAACCCCAGUAGUCCC